rnacentral:piRNA from 1 species
UUAAAGUGCAGACUUGAGAGAGGAGA